AGAAUUUUAAGUUAUAAUAUAAACUAAAGAUUUUCAAAAUCUUAAAAACUUCAUUUAGUAAAUUUAA
rnacentral:tRNA from 1 species